rnacentral:lncRNA from 1 species
GACUCUGCUCGAGAAGAACGAUGUGCAGCGGAUCCCAGGGGUGGGACUCCUGUACACAGAGCUCGUCCAGGGCAUCCCGCCAGUGUUCCCUCGGCUGAUCAAGAAGAUACCAUCCGUGCACUCCAUCUUUCUGUUCAUGUCGAUCAAGCACCUGCCGAUCUCACAUGUGGUGCCGGCAGAGAGGUUCCUCUUCCGGCAGGUUGGCCCGAGGGAGCACCGGAUGUUCCGGUGCGUGGCAAGGUACGGGUACAGCGACUCGCUGGAGGAGCCCAAGGAGUUUGCAGGGUUCCUCGUGGACAGGCUGAAGAUGUUCAUCCAGGAAGAAAUUGCUUUCGCUCAGAAUGACGCAGAGAAUGAAGACCACAC